GCAUAGCUCAGUUGGUUAGGGCAUUGUGCUGAUAACACCAAGGUUGCAGGUUUGAUCCUGUAUGGGACG